UAUAGCUCAGUGGCAGAGCAUUUGACUGCAGAUCAAGAGGUCCCUGGUUCAACUCCAGGUGCCCCCUGAGCUUUUAAAACCUUUGGUCAAGAUGGAAUAUGAUCUCCAUGUUGUCAGCUGAAAUAAGGAGAAACAACCCAAAAGGUACAAAUGCACUCUUAAUGAAUGAGCAGCUUGUUAGGUCGCUACUGCAUUCACAAAGGCACAGCAAAGAGAGGGAUGCAUCUGAUGGAGCAGCUGGAUAGGAGUCCAAGUCUGUUAAAAAUUUACAGUAUAGCUGAGUGACUUUAUUGUGUGGUCAUCUCAUCCACCUUUCAGCUGUGGUGUUGGAACCAAAUCAGGAGAAUGAGAGGACACCAUAGAAAGUCCUAUGGACUCCUGUCAGAAGAGUAUAUGGCACUGCCUUCUGCAAGCAC